ACGGUCUGAGCCUGGCGAAAUGCCAGUGCUUCCAUGAGAAAACCUCUUUUCCUGGUAUCUGCUGUGAGAUGUGAUCAGAGACAGAGAAGAGCAGGCUCUAACUUAUGAUUGAAAGGAAAAAAACUUUAUUAACAUAAAACUACAGGGAAAAAACACACAGAACACGGGAUGAAAACCUUCCAAAUUUCCUCCUCCUCCCCCCACCAAAUUUCUUAAUUCCGUUGCCACCCUUUGGAUAAUCAAUUCUCAGUUCUUUGAGAAGAGAGGAGUCCCUCUUGCACUACAGACUUCACCCAGGAAACAGUCGAAACUUCUCGUGUCUCUGUGUCACGUGUGGCACCGCCCGGAGAACAUUUUGCCAUCGUGACCUCUUCCUUCCAUGUCCAGUGCUCUCACCACUGCACAUGGACCAGAGCUGCUUCUAGGGUUUUUCCCUUUAAGGAUGCUUUGUCCAGUUCCAAAAAAGAGCACAGUCCCUCUCCUUUUGGGACACCUGUCCCCCCCAUGUUUCACCCCCUGGGGCUGAGGGGUCUCUCGAACAGAGAUCAUCUUCCUCUUCUUCUUCUUCGAAGACGGAGGGCACCACCACCACCACCACCCUCCUCACCCGUCGUCUCUGUUCACACACUUUCACAUCACUGCACUUUCUUGGCUCUGAGCCAUUGCCUCCCCCUAGGAUGCAGUCUCUGUGUCACAGGAACUCAAGGGUUCUGUCCAUAGCUAUCCAAGAAAAGUCCAGCCAAAAGCCACUCCAUCAUCUCCUCCCACCUAGGAUUCUUCUCAACUUCUCUCAAUCUCACCAACUCCAGGAGGAAUCAGCAUUUGCAAGGUUUCCAUCUUCCCAAGAAGGGUUAAAAGUCCCAGGCUCUGCUGGUUUGGUUCAUGAACUCCCACAGCUGGCUGCCCUGCUGGGCACCCCCCCUUCUCCUUCACUCCAGCCGCGCUAUCACAGGCACAGGCUGCUCUCUCUCUCUCCCUCCGGGGGGGAAUGGGGGAUGGCUGCCCGAAGCCCUCGCAGUGCAAUGCUCCUCCACCCUUGGGCCCAGGCCUGGCCUACCUCCCUCCGGCCGCAUGGCUCCCCUCCCCCCUGCCCAGCUAGGAGCUGGACAGGGGAGAGGUCUCCUUUGGUCCAGGGCCGGAACUCAAAAGGAACUUCCAGUGGGAGUUCACAGCUUUUAACCCCUGUGUUCUCAGAGGCGUAUCCAUGCCCUCAAUGGACAAACCAGGUGCCAAUAUUAAAAUCUGGACACCGAUUGGCGUGACCACACCAUCCCAAAAAAACCAUUUCCUCUCAAACCACGACAUGGAGUGAAGGUUUUGUUUUGGCCUCUUAUCAGCCACUCGGCGGGACAUCCAGAUUGCACCAGUGCAUGUUGCUGCUUUUUGGUUCUUGCCCCUGCUUUUUUGCUUCUGCUUCGCUUCUGCUUUGCUUGCUCUUGCUUCCCCCCCCCGUCCCUUCAUUAGUUAAUUUAGCUAAACAGUCCAAACUCCUUUCUGGACUGUUCCCCCCACCCCGUUGGACCUGCUGACUGCUCCCGACUGGGAUUUGGAGCACGGAGAGAGAGUUUGCACCUUGUGACUGCAGCAGCUGCCUCAGCACCGGAGGGACUGAUAACAGAGCAAACCCCCAGGAGAGACUUUCUGAAUUUGUCAUCUUUGUCAGAGCAGUGGAAGAGUGGUGUCACCCGGUUUUGUUCAUUGUGUGUGCUGGGGGGUGCUGUGCCUGUUAAAUAAACAGGUUCUUUCCACCUCUCUCCGAGGAAUUCUUCCCAAACCGGUUGGGGGGAGGGGCUGUGUGGGUUUGUUUUAUGGAGAAGCCCUUUUUGGGGAUUCUCUCCCAAAUGUGCCCUAAACCAGGACACCUUUCCCUAUUAUUGUUGAUUUUAGCUUCCACUCUCCUUCCCUGCUUUUGGGUACUACCAUACUUUUUCUUGAUGUAAUCCAUUUUAAAAUGUCUAGGGGACCUAAAUUGAUACCAUCCCAUGGCCAAAUUUCACUUAAGUGUGUCCCCCCACACACCCAACAAUCAGUCAGAUUAAAUUCUUUCAUAAUCUUUUCCACCAUAUUGAUAAAAAGAUUCUUUUCAUAUAUUUGUCCCUCUCUAUCCGUUUGCCUUUUCACUGGCAAGGAGAAAGAAGUUGCACUUCUUUCUCUUUGAAUGUAUCCUCUAAGUUGGUUUCACUUUCUUGUUCAAAACUUACCCAUCUUUCUUUCACAGGGCACUCUCAUGACAUCUCCUAGCUGGGGUUUGCAAUAGUUUUAGCCAGCUGUGAAAAAUGCAUAUUUUAUGAUUGGCUUUUUGCAAAUAUUAAAAUGAAUAUUAUGUGUUAUGUUAGGAAGUUAUGCAGUAUUAAUUUUCUUCAGUAGUGUGUUAAAUAUAGUUCUAGGUUAAAACAUAAUGUUAAAAUAGAAACUAUGUGUGUGGGUUUUUUUUUUAAAGAAAGGAAUGAGGUAUUUCCACCGAGAUAGCAGCCACAGGACACCUAAAUCUUUCAGAGACAGAGAAUUUAUUGCUCCAUUAUCAGAAGAAACAAUCUUCUUCCUGUCUUGCUCCACUCUGAAGAUGCCAUCGGGAUUCAGAGGAAGCAGCUGACACUGACCAGACAGAAUCCUGUGUUUGAAUGGAAUUUAUGCAUCAUGUAUGAAAUCUAUGAAUAUGCAACAGGCUUUUGUUUUUUGCAAGUAAUCCUCUGUUAACGUGUGUCCUUUUUUUGGCUUAUUUUGCCCAGAAAGAGGUCCCUGGACCUUACAUAACUCUUUGUUCUUAUUGUCUUGUAUUGUCCUAAAACCUAAUUGUCAAAGUAUUUAUUGCUCUAAAUAUAUUACUAUUUUUAUAACCAUUUUAUGAUUAUUAAACUUUUAAAUUUUUAAAAACAAGUGAUUGGCAUUCUUUACACCACCCAAUAUAUUUUAUUAUCCUCUUUACAGGCUGUUAGCUGGGAGUGAUGGAUACAUUUGGGAUUCAUGUUUGUGUAUACUCUGAUUAAUGCACUUACUGUAUCUCCUCUAUCCAAGGGACAGUAACACUUCUCACAAGCGUUUCCUCCACUUCCUUUGCAGUCAGUGAGUAGCAGCACUGCUACCAGUGGCAGUCUGGUACGCACUGGCCUCCUCACCUCUGAUCCACAGGGGUUUUCUCGGUGCCCUGAGAGUUUUUCCCAGAAGGAGUUCCCGAUCCAGUCUUGCCUCCCACCUCUGGUUUUCCCUUCUUCUGGAGCCAUUCUGCCAUGACCCUCAUGGUACCGACUGCCUUCCCUCAAUUUGGUCCCAAUUUGGGGUACAAGGAGAGCGCUCUAUGGAACAGUACUGGAAACUGAGAUGUUACUUUGACUGUCAACUCUGAGCUGAACAAAACUUGAACUUUAUAACUAUAACUGAUAAAAACGCGAGCAGGCUCCCAGUACCAAAGUGAUUUCAGCAUUUAUUACAAGAAAAAGAAAGGCCCAAAGCAAGGGGGCCCGCGGGCCGAGCAGGAGCGUUCCCGUCGAGGAUGCUGCAGCGCCGGCGCUGGGGCUGCCUCAGCAGCGAUGGCCCCGAUGUCCCAGGUGGAGCGGCACAGAUUCAGUGGGUCAGAAGCCCCUUUCUAUCCUGUUUUUGUCCCUUUGGAUUGGUUUCUUUUUGGAUCCUUCAUUUGCAUGAAGGUUUAAGGUGCUUGAUUGGCCCAUGGCAGUUCUGUCCAGGCUGGCUGGUUUCCCUUGGGGGUGGUGCCCUUUACUGAGUGUGCUCUGGGAAUCCUGAACUUCAUGUGCCAGAGGAAUCUUUAACUUUGUGUGCCCCGGGACUCCUGAAUUUCGUGUCUCCCGAGAAUCCUGACUUUCGUGUGCCCCCAGAAUCCUGAAUUUCAUGUGCUCUGAGAUUCUUGAAUUCCGUGUGCCCUAGUAUCCUGAACCUCGUGUGCCCCAGGAAUCCUGAACUUCAUGUUCCCUGGGAAUCCUGAACUUCACCUGUCCCUGCCUUUCUCAGACACCGGCUGCCACUGUCCUGUCCUCACUGUUUUCUUCAUUACUGCUCUGCAUUUUCUCCACACCAUAGCCACCCCCUGCUGCCUUGCCUGCACGUCCCCACAGUUCCACCUCCCUCAAAACUCCUGAUACAUCUCAAACUUCUGAUACAUCUCAGUGUCCUGGGUUGCCAAGCACAUUGUGUUCUAUUUGCCAUCUGCAUGGCAGUUGUCUUCUGAUAAUUGGGCAGUUUUCCUUAUCUCUUCCCCCACCACUCCUCCCUCCAGAGACAUCUGCUGAUAACAGGCCAUUGAAUGUCACUGCAUGGCUGAUAACAACUAUGGCAUCCCAUUGGGAGAUGCUCUUCCCAGAGGGAGGAGCCAAGCAUUCCUACCCGGAUAUAAUCUGGAGAUUCUGGAACAGCAGCACGGCUUCUCCACUGGAUUCCCAGAGGAACAGCAGCUGCCUCUUCCCCUGGAUCUUCAGAGGAAGAACACACCCUUUUACAGGAUCCCUGCUCCAGCAGAACCACCCCUGACACUCCAGGAGGGCUACAGCCACAAUUCCAACUGGACUGCUGCCAACACCCUGACCCACAGGGUGUCACGUUGUGUUCUGACUCAGGCAGUGUGGGUUUAGUUUACUGCAUUGUUUAUUUUAUUUUCUUCCCUAAUAAAGAUCUGUUAUCCCUGCUCCCAUAUCUUUGCCUGAGAGCCCCACAUUCAAAAAUCAUAGCACAGGGAGGGGAUUUACAUUUUCCAUUUCAGGGGAGGCUCCUGCCUUCCUUAGCAGACUCCUGUCUGUUCAAACCAAGACAGAUUUUGGCACCAAUAUGCAGCUUGAGGGCAUUGAGAGAAAAAGGAAUAACAGUUCUUGAGUAAUCUAAUUUUUGUGUGCUGCUAUUGAAACCUCGUUAGGUGUCACCAUGUGGUCCAGCUUACCCUGCUUUGGGUGGCACAUGGCCCUGGCUACACUUCUCCCAUUUGCAGGCCCUUAUCUCAACAUGGGUCCUGUAACCAAGGCUACUGUGGCUGUUAUCCAGUUUGCUUUACAGGUUAAUAAGGUGAGCAAUUAACGGAUUUUUAACUUCCUCUGGAAAGCAGGCACAUGGAUUCAGAGCUACCACACCCUAACUGUACGGUUUUGGGGUCACUUUAAUAAUGGCACCCACUGUGAGGAAAUGACACCGGGAGAAAUUUUCUCUCAACCCUUCACCCAGCUCUUUGGGUCUGCCCCACCAGUUUUCGAAGGGUUCAGAUCCACUCUAAAUGCUAAUGAUAUCAGACAGUGGCUGGUGUUGCUGAUAGGCCUGUUAACCCUUUUUAUUUAGCAUUCAGUGAUAAGGGAAGGCUGACUUGGAUAACCACCCUGACACCUGUGGUAAUCACAUAUCCUCUGAACAGAGAGAGACACAGCUCUGCCAGGAUUUUCCUGGGAAGCUGUGAGGAGCUGUGGCAAACUUAGAGAAAAGAAUUCAAACAAUUAUUCUCUCUCUUUCUGCAACCAUUGUUUAUAGAUAGGGUUCUCCAGAGUGUGCUAUUCAUAGUUCACCAAGAGUGUGAGAGGUUUUCACUUUGAGACCAAUCAGAUCUCACCUUAGCGAGUCACACUAUACAAGACCCGCUGCUUUCAUUAAAUGCUUUUUGCCUCCUGAUCCACCUGAGGACCGGAGUCUUUCAUUCCAUCCCUGACUCAACAGCGUCAUCCGGUGACCGCCGACGUGUGCUGCAGCCUAGGCUGGAGGCACAGGAUCUGCUGGACCCCGACCUUUGGUGCAGCCGAGGCUGAAGAAACAGGACCUUAAGGGAUCCGGCCGAGUUCACAGCUGAGACUGAACAUGGGCGUGGUCUGGUGACCCCUCAUGGAAUCGCAGGACAGCCGGGACACGUCCCGAGAUGAGCGACCCAGCGACCCUCUGCGAUCGGACACCGUUUGCCCUCUUGAGUGAGGUAACUCUGCCUUUGCCCCGUGUCUUCCUGAGGAGACUGGUCCUGUUCAGACCACAGGGUUGGGGGCAAACGACAGACCAAACAAACCUCCCCCGGGAGGCUGAGAACUGAGCAGGGGAUGGCUUUUCCCGACACAGCAGACUGUCUCUUGAAGUGGACGCCUGCUGAGGGAUGGGUUUUCCUUAAAAAUGGGGAACCAACCUUCCAGAGAUGAACAACUUGUUCUGGCCAUGCGGAGGAAUGUCAUACCUCCCAUGGGAAUUGCAGUCUCAGAUGAAGUGCUCUGUGAUCUGCUGGGCUGGGCCAGAGAUCACGGGUUCCCAGUGGAGCUGGGCGCUGCACUGAGUCUGAGAACUUGGGAGGAAUUGGGGGAUUGCCUCUAGGAUGAGGUUUGCAGAGGGGACGCAGUCGUGUCCGCACCGAUCGUCACCUGGAGAUGCAUUUCUAAAUUCCUUCGGUGCAAGGUCCCGGGGAGCAGAGCACUGACAAAGCCAACUUGUUUUUCACCUCUUGUCAAAAGUACAUAUUAUAUGGCUCUAUGCAGAUAUUUACUAUGUGUAUUAUGUAUGAUUAGUAGUGCUGUAUUACCAUUUUAAUAGUAUUGUAAUUGUAGUUUUGCAGUUAAAAUGUAACUUUUGUAGUUAAAAUAGAAACUAUGUGUGCGGGAUAUUUUUUAAAGAAAGGAAUGAGGUACUCACACCAGAUAGCAGCCACAGGACACCUACAUCUUUCAGAGAAAAAGAAUUUAUUGCUCCAUCAUCAGAAGAAACCAACUUUUUCCUGCCUUGCUCAGCCAUGAAGACGCCGUCAGGAUUCAGAGGACGAAGUUGACACUGACCAGGCAGAAUCCUUUGUUUGAAUGGAAUUCAUGCAUCAUGUAUGAGGUGUAUGAAUAUGCCUAUUGCUUUUAAGGAUUAAUCCUCUGUUAAGGUGUGUCCUUUUUUGGGCUUAUUUUGCCCAGAGAGAGGUACCUGGACUUUUCAUAACUCUUUGGUUUUAUUGUCUUGUAUUGUCCUAAUCCAAAUUGUUCAAAUGUUUAUUACUUUAAUUAUAUUACUAUUUUUAUAACCAUUUUAUUACUAUUAAACUUUUAAAAUUCUGAAAAUAA